CGUACCUAUCUUGUAGUGAGAUGAAUGCUGUUUUGGUGGUAGGGCCCUUCUGAAGAGAGGGCACCGCUGCCAGCAGUAUAGUCUCACCACUAUAAAACUCUUUUAUUAUUUUCUAGAUUUUUCAUUGCUGAGUGGCAUAACUAUAAAAAAGUUAAAACUUUCAACAACGGAUCUCUUGGCUCUAGCAUCGAUGAAGAACGCAGCGAAAUGCGAUAAGUAAUGUGAAUUGCAGAAUUCAGUGAAUCAUCGAAUCUUUGAACGCACAUUGCGCCUGGCAGUAUUCUGCCAGGCAUGCCUGUCCGAGCGUCAUUUCACCACUCAAGACUCUUUUGUUCUUGGCGUUGGAGGUCCUGUUCUCCCCUGAACAGGCCGCCGAAAUGUAUCGGCUGUUAUACUUGCCAACUCCCCUGUGUAGUAUAAAAUUUCUAAUUUUUCACACUUUGAAGUUCUUGUGUAACACGCCGCUAAACCCGCUCAACUUUUGUUGAACUUUUCACAAGG
rnacentral:misc_RNA from 1 species